CAAGAAGAUGGAAGCCCCAGGAAGUGAAGUACCCUCCCUAGGGUCACACAUGUAUGGAAGAGUCAGGAUUUGAAUUUGGGUCAUUGGACUCCAACUCUUGCAUCUUUAGUCUAAUAAUAACAGCUAUCACUUUAUUGAGUUUCUACUAUGAGCCACGCUCUAUGGAGGACAUGGAGGCUCAGAGAGGUUAAUUAAGCUUGCCCAAAGUCACACAGCUAGUAGAGGUGAAGCUAGAAUGUAAACCUCAUCACGAUCCCAAGGCAUCUCAGGACUAAGAAAAGAUGGGCCCUUCCUGCCACUUUGGAGAGGAAUGAUGUCAAUGCUUGUUUGUGCCCAAUAACAUAUAUCACAAGGCAUCAUCGAGGCCUACAAAUCACGACCAGAUGAUGUUAAGCUGCUUCGAUAACGUUCGGGAUCCCUUCCGGCCGCAAGCUGUUUGUCAUGGAGCAAUUACCUCCGAGGCCUUGAUUAAAGGCGCAGGGAAGAAGAAGUGGGAAGGAAAUGAAACGCUGGCAGUGUGGGCAGGGUGUCCCACCACCCGUCUGAGGACAACGAUGUUGACCACUGGGCCAGGCCCUGUGCAAGCUCUGGGGGAUCAGAGAUGAACCAUUUCUGGUGUCUGUCCUCAAGGAGCUCACAGUACCAAGGGGGAGGCAGACAGGUGUCAAAUAACUUGCAGAGCCACCUACUGAGGGCCGUGAGGGUUCUCAGGUGACAAGAAGAAAGGAGUGAUCAGUUAUUGGGCAGAAAGAAG
rnacentral:lncRNA from 1 species